CAUUGAGAAUGAAAAGAUAAGAGUAACUACUAGAAAGAUGCUUUCAAAAUUACUAGGGAAAUGUCCUUCCAGAUUAAGGCUUCUCAUAAUGUUCAUAACUAUGGAAAAAGUUUCAUUAACAAAUAGAUCACAACAAAGUAGUUGAGCAAAAAUUAUAUAAAAAACUGGAGUUUUGAUUUUGAUUGGAGAAUUAAAGCUUUCAAGGGUCA
rnacentral:lncRNA from 1 species